AUAGGAGUGCACAACGUCAUAAACUCCGCGCCCGUACCCGGAAAUGGUCUACAAGCAACAUGGUUACGUUUCUAAUUUGAUUCUAAUAUUCGUUAUUAUUUAACAUAUGUUAUUUUUUAAAGAAAAGCCAAGGUUCCCGUGUGUUCCUGUCACCUCGAAGUCGAGGUAAAAUCUUUAAUAUCCGCUUAAAAAUGUUUAAAUCGGCACUUCUAACCCUUCAUCAAGCAUUGAAGAGAAGCUUCCGUUGUGUGGAAAGCAACCAACAACUGUGGACGAAAGUGGUGGCUGAGUGCAUCCCUCUGGUGUCUUCCCUGGAGAACUUGACAGAACAGUCGAGGGCCCUUUCCAACGUCCAGAUCUCCAACACGCCGCUUAAAGACUUUCCAGACGUGGAGGAGCUGCUGCGUUUCAAGCUCCUGCAAGCCAUGGAUGUAGUGCUAUGCAAACUGCAUGAGAAGAUGGCUUCACUCCAGUCGGUGAGAGAUGCCAUUAGCAACCAGGUCUCAACAGUCGUCCAUUUAUACGAGCAGAACGCAGACGGUCUGGAUCUUCCGACUGUAACCGAGCGCUCGGACAUCAUCCCAUCAGUCGCUGACAUGCUGGAGUGGUUGCAGGAUGCAGAACGUCACUAUCAACAACAAUUCUUGAGAAGGAAGACUCUUCUCCGCACGUUAAGUACAGACAACCUAUCCCUUGUGGAAUCUUCUGCUAAAAGAUGGAAAGACAUGGACACUCCCACUAUGGAAGAUCACAUCACAGAUACACUUUGCAAAGUGUUCUUCUUCAUGGAGUCUUGCUAAGUUGAAGAAAAUGGACUGAAGAAACGGUGUUAGAAAAGGAGCUGCAUGAUUGGAUGGACAAAGUUCCCAAGCUGUAUAUUUGGGGUCACGGGGGGAUGCUGGAGCCUAUCCCAGCUGUCUUCAGGCGAGAGGCGGGGUACACCCUGGACUGGUCGCCAGCCAAUCACAGGGCACAUAUAGACAAACAACCAUUCACACUCACAUUCAUAUCUAUGGACAAUUUGGAGUCGCUAAUUAACCUAGCAUGUUUUUGGAAUGUGGGAGGAAACCGGAGUACCCGGAGAAAACCCACGCAUGCACGGGGAGAACAUGCAAACUCCACACAGAGAUGGCCGAGGGUGGAAUUGAACCCUGGUCUCCCAGCUGUGAGGUCUGCGCGCUAACCACUCGAGUAUAUACUCAAGUAUGCUUCCUUAUUCAUUAAUUUAAUGGUUUUAUGAAGGGCAUAGAAAACCUGUUUGAAAGCUGUUCUAAAUGUCAUUAGAGACCUCUAGACAUGAAAUAGCACCCCUAUAGUCACUUUUACACUUGCAUUACCCAAUACAGCACACAGAAGAGACAAGUGGCAAAUGUCUCUAAUGUAACAUUCAUUCAUUUGCUACCGCUUUUUCCUCACAAGGGUCGCGGGGGGUGCUGGAGCCUAUCCCAGCUGUCUUUGAGCAAGAGGCGGGGUACACCCUGGACUGGUGGCCAGCCAAUCACAGGGCACAUAUAGACAAACAACCAUUCACACUCACAUUCAUACCUAUGGACAAUUUGGAGUCGCCAAUUAACCUAGCAUGUUUUUGGAAUGUGGGAGGGCAUGCAUGGGGGAGAACGAGGAGAACAUGCAAACUCCACACAGAGAUGGCCGAGGGUGGAAUUGAACCCUGGUCUCCUAGCUGUGAGGUCUGCGUGCUAACCACUCAAGUAUGUUUCCUUAUUCAUUAAUUUAAUGGUUUUAUGAAGGGCAUAGAAAACCUGUUCUAAAUGUAAUUAGAGACCUCUAGACAUGAAAUAACACCCCUAUAGUCACUUUUACACUUGCAUUACCCAAUUCAGCACACAUAAGAGGCAUAUGGCAAGCGGCAAAUGUCUGUAAUUUAACAUUACUGGCAAAAAUAAUAGAAAAACGCAAUCAAUGUUAAAGGCAUAAAAUACCAAUUUAUUACUUUGCACAUUAACACAAGAGUUCCCUGCAGGCUAAAACAAAAAAUGUAUUUGAGCAUUUCUUAUAGCAAUACCAUGUGAAUGGCCCAAUGCAAGGGGGCGGGGUCUAUAACAUGCUCCACCUCUACUGCUCAAAAAGAAUCGGCGCUCCAUUCAUCGAAUUGAAGCAUUCCGAUCCUUUGUAUUGCUAUUAAAGAACAAAAAAAAUGUAGAGCAGAGCUAAAAAUGACCCCCCUCAAAAAAAAAGACAUUUUCAUAAAAUACUCCUUUUAAGAUAGUGAUAUAUCAAAGUGUAAGGAAUUUUAAAGUUUUUUUUUUUUAUUUCAUGCUCUCCCCAUUGGGAUAGAAAUAACUUUAGUUAAAGAGGUAACUCUUUUGUGAUUUUUUUUUUAGUGAGGGUUGCCGUAAAGACAGGAGAGACUCGGAGAGAGACCCCUGCACCAGAAAAAAGGAGGCUUGGCCCACAGGUAGAAACCAGGAAGAAGGAGACAAUAUGGACGCUCACUUAUACUGAGGCCUGGCAAAGAGGAGAUGGGUUUGGGGUUUGAUCUUCUUACGGGUCCGUGUCCGAAGAAAGUACCUCGUUUUGAAUUUGAACACGACCUGAAGAUCAGACCCCCCUGCACCUCUUUGUCAGACGCUAAAAAUUACUGACAUUUGUGUGGGAAUCUUUAAAAAACACAUUAAAAGAGAUUGAUAACAGAUAUUGCUAGCCUAAACAGUCCCAACAAAGUGAUAAACAUUUACACCAAAAAAACAACCUUUAUACUUUUUCUUUAUCAUUAUAAAUAUGAUUCCAAAUUUUUUUUUCUCUUUUUUUUUGUUUUUGUGUUAAUAGUCUGGCAUGCAGGCGAGCAAAGAUAAAGAAAAUCACCUAAAAGCCUACGUAACUAUACCACCAAAUGCACAUCCCCACUGAUUGAUACAAGCAAAUUAAAAACACAUGAAAAAAAAAUAUACAGGGACAACAGCAGAGCAAUUCAUAAAAAAAAUAAAAAUAAACCACAAUGCUAAGAGUUACAGCUUUGUCUUUCCACAUUUUUGACAGUAGAACUGGGUUAUAUAUUGCUUUGCGCAAAAAAAAAAAAAACCACAAUGUAGUUUUUUUAAAUCAAACUGGAGCUUCGAUUCUGCAGAUCAGAUGAACAUGAAACCACUUUUGCUUCGUAAAAAAAAAAAAAAAAAAAAAAGACAAGAGUGCACGUGAUGGAGACGUUUAUCGCAUGCAGUGAUGUGGACAACGCCAACGCGCACGCCUUCGACAGGUAAGCCGCUCAAACUCAUUCAUAAUAAACCUGCUGCUUUACGGGUGGUUUAUUACAAAAGGGUUUUUACGUCGAGCUGUGCCCGCCUGACGAGGCGUGAACGUCGACACUUUUCCCCUCCGACGCUCGUCUAUCCAAAAAAAUUAAAAAUAAAAAAAAGUUUGUGCAACUACCGGAGGCAAGAAGUGAUUUUAUGAGUGUUUUUGUGAUUGUUCGUUCAAUCCAGUGUUAAAAAUUCAUAAUAACAAUAAGAAAAACACUUAGAUAGUAAAGACUUUUAAAGAGGGGGUAUACUUGAAAAUACACACAGAGUAAUAAUAAUAAAAAAAAAGGUUAGGAAAUUGAUCUCAUCACCCUAUCGCAGACCGCUUAAAAAAAAAAAAAUUGCCCACUCUAGCUUCACUACAAAUACGAUCCCUGAUUGUCUCCAUCUGUCUGGUGAAAAACCAGCAGAGUGACACACACAGGCAGAUCUGUUGUAUCACUCUGGAGUGCUACACAAACGCCCCCACAAUCGUCCCUGGACCAACAAAAAAAAGGAAGCAUGAGUUUCAUCCAUCCAGGAGGGGGGGGGGUCUUCUCGCCAUUAGCUGGGAUGCUACAAAAAAAAAAAAAUUCCACCCUUCUCCCCCUGACCGGCAGCCCAUAAACUUACUACUUCUGAAAGGCUCACGCUUAAAAACAUCUCAAAAUCACAAUAGUUACAACAACGAUAACAACAACAACGACAAUAGCACUAGAUUCUAAACAACAGUUUUUAAGAUAACCACAAAACGUCUUUAUAUUAAAAUUUUUACAAAUCUGCUUUGUUGAUUCGUAUGUAUAAAUGCAUAAAGGUUAAUAAUAAGAGAUCGAGAGUGCCCUCUGUUGCUUGCCUCGCAUCCCGGGUCAGUGCAAUGAAUUGGCCAGUAUUUGCAAAAAAAGGAGACCUAUAAGAUAGAAAAGGAAAACUAAUCCGGUUUGUGGGACCUUGAAAUGACUUAAAAAGGUCAAAUGUCCAGCAGUACGAUACUACUAAAAAUAUAAAGAUCAAA